CUACGGGAGGCACCAGGCGAGAAACCUUUACAAUGCACGAAAGUGUGAUAAGGGGAACCCAAGUGCUCAUGCUUCGGUAUGGGCUUUUGUCAAGUGUAAAUAACUUGGAGAAUAAGUGGUGGGUAAGACUGGUGCCAGCCGCCGCGGUAACACCAGCGCCGCUAGUGGUGAUCAUAUUUAUUGGGUCUAAAGCGUUCGUAGCCGGUUUAGUAAAUCUUUUGUCAAAUUAUUGAGCUAAACUCAAUAAAUUCAAGAGAAACUGCUAAACUUGAGACAGGGAGAAGAUAAAAGUAUUUUGAGGGGAGCGGUAAAAUGUUAUAAUCCUCAGAGGACUACCAAUGGCGAAGGCAUUUAUCUAGAACUGCUCUGACGGUGAGGAACGAAAGCUAGGGGAUCAAAACGGAUUAGAUACCCCUGUAGUC
rnacentral:rRNA from 1 species